GGGUAAGCUGGCUGCGAUGUGACCCCUUGAUGGCCAGGGUUGAUGUGGCUGAUCUGGCUGGUUCGGUGGGUAUCUCCUUCCUUAAUGCUCCAUGUGUCUCCUGAGAGUGUUCUGGGCUGAAGAAGACAACUUGCUGUCAGGAAGGAGACUUGUUCUCUGAGCAAGGGUAUAUGAAUAACUGCCCCUUCUAGAAUCACCAAACAAGCCCUCAGAUGGUUCAGGUUUGAGUGGUCAAUAUGUUCAGGCUGUCAACAAAUGACUGGUUUCACAUUAACUGCUUCCUGGAACCCUG
ensembl:misc_RNA 7SK 7SK RNA